rnacentral:rRNA from 1 species
GACGAACGCUGGCGGCGUGCCUAAUACAUGCAAGUUGAGCGCUGAAGGUUGGUACUUGUACCAACUGGAUGAGCAGCGAACGGGUGAGUAACGCGUGGGGAAUCUGCCUUUGAGCGGGGGACAACAUUUGGAAACGAAUGCUAAUACCGCAUAAAAACUUUAAACACAAGUUUUAAGUUUGAAAGAUGCAAUUGCAUCACUCAAAGAUGAUCCCGCGUUGUAUUAGCUAGUUGGUGAGGUAAAGGCUCACCAAGGCGAUGAUACAUAGCCGACCUGAGAGGGUGAUCGGCCACAUUGGGACUGAGACACGGCCCAAACUCCUACGGGAGGCAGCAGUAGGGAAUCUUCGGCAAUGGACGAAAGUCUGACCGAGCAACGCCGCGUGAGUGAAGAAGGUUUUCGGAUCGUAAAACUCUGUUGGUAGAGAAGAACGUUGGUGAGAGUGGAAAGCUCAUAAAGUGACGGUAACUACACAGAAAGGGACGGCUAACUACGUG